rnacentral:rRNA from 1 species
CAGUCGUCACGGUAAUACGGAGGGUGCAAGCGUUAAUCGGAAUUACUGGGCGUAAAGCGUGCGUAGGCGGUUCGUUAAGUCUGUUGUGAAAGCCCCGGGCUCAACCUGGGAAUGGCAAUGGAUACUGGCGAGCUAGAGUGUGUCAGAGGAUGGUGGAAUUCCCGGUGUAGCGGAGAAAUGCGUAGAGAUCGGGAGGAACAUCAGUGGCGAAGGCGGCCGUCUGGGACAACACUGACGCUGAGGCACGAAAGCGUGGGGAGCAAACAGGAUUAGAUACCCCCGUAGUCCCUGUCUCUUAUAC